GGGUUGUGAGGUUAAGCGACUAAGCGUACACGGUGGAUGCCCUGGCAGUCAGAGGCGAUGAAGGACGUGCUAAUCUGCGAUAAGCGUCGGUAAGGUGAUAUGAACCGUUAUAACCGGCGAUUUCCGAAUGGGGAAACCCAGUGUGUUUCGACACACUAUCAUUAACUGAAUCCAUAGGUUAAUGAGGCGAACCGGGGGAACUGAAACAUCUAAGUACCCCGAGGAAAAGAAAUCAACCGAGAUUCCCCCAGUAGCGGCGAGCGAACGGGGAGCAGCCCAGAGCCUGAAUCAGUGUGUGUGUUAGUGGAAGCGUCUGGAAAGGCGCGCGAUACAGGGUGACAGCCCCGUACACAAAAAUGCACAUGCUGUGAGCUCGAUGAGUAGGGCGGGACACGUGGUAUCCUGUCUGAAUAUGGGGGGACCAUCCUCCAAGGCUAAAUACUCCUGACUGACCGAUAGUGAACCAGUACCGUGAGGGAAAGGCGAAAAGAACCCCGGCGAGGGGAGUGAAAAAGAACCUGAAACCGUGUACGUACAAGCAGUGGGAGCACGCUUAGGCGUGUGACUGCGUACCUUUUGUAUAAUGGGUCAGCGACUUAUAUUCUGUAGCAAGGUUAACCGAAUAGGGGAGCCGAAGGGAAACCGAGUCUUAACUGGGCGUUAAGUUGCAGGGUAUAGACCCGAAACCCGGUGAUCUAGCCAUGGGCAGGUUGAAGGUUGGGUAACACUAACUGGAGGACCGAACCGACUAAUGUUGAAAAAUUAGCGGAUGACUUGUGGCUGGGGGUGAAAGGCCAAUCAAACCGGGAGAUAGCUGGUUCUCCCCGAAAGCUAUUUAGGUAGCGCCUCGUGAACUCAUCUCCGGGGGUAGAGCACUGUUUCGGCAAGGGGGUCAUCCCGACUUACCAACCCGAUGCAAACUGCGAAUACCGGAGAAUGUUAUCACGGGAGACACACGGCGGGUGCUAACGUCCGUCGUGAAGAGGGAAACAACCCAGACCGCCAGCUAAGGUCCCAAAGUCAUGGUUAAGUGGGAAACGAUGUGGGAAGGCCCAGACAGCCAGGAUGUUGGCUUAGAAGCAGCCAUCAUUUAAAGAAAGCGUAAUAGCUCACUGGUCGAGUCGGCCUGCGCGGAAGAUGUAACGGGGCUAAACCAUGCACCGAAGCUGCGGCAGCGACGCUUAUGCGUUGUUGGGUAGGGGAGCGUUCUGUAAGCCUGUGAAGGUGUGCUGUGAGGCAUGCUGGAGGUAUCAGAAGUGCGAAUGCUGACAUAAGUAACGAUAAAGCGGGUGAAAAGCCCGCUCGCCGGAAGACCAAGGGUUCCUGUCCAACGUUAAUCGGGGCAGGGUGAGUCGACCCCUAAGGCGAGGCCGAAAGGCGUAGUCGAUGGGAAACAGGUUAAUAUUCCUGUACUUGGUGUUACUGCGAAGGGGGGACGGAGAAGGCUAUGUUGGCCGGGCGACGGUUGUCCCGGUUUAAGCGUGUAGGCUGGUUUUCCAGGCAAAUCCGGAAAAUCAAGGCUGAGGCGUGAUGACGAGGCACUACGGUGCUGAAGCAACAAAUGCCCUGCUUCCAGGAAAAGCCUCUAAGCAUCAGGUAACAUCAAAUCGUACCCCAAACCGACACAGGUGGUCAGGUAGAGAAUACCAAGGCGCUUGAGAGAACUCGGGUGAAGGAACUAGGCAAAAUGGUGCCGUAACUUCGGGAGAAGGCACGCUGAUAUGUAGGUGAAGCGACUUGCUCGUGGAGCUGAAAUCAGUCGAAGAUACCAGCUGGCUGCAACUGUUUAUUAAAAACACAGCACUGUGCAAACACGAAAGUGGACGUAUACGGUGUGACGCCUGCCCGGUGCCGGAAGGUUAAUUGAUGGGGUCAGCGCAAGCGAAGCUCUUGAUCGAAGCCCCGGUAAACGGCGGCCGUAACUAUAACGGUCCUAAGGUAGCGAAAUUCCUUGUCGGGUAAGUUCCGACCUGCACGAAUGGCGUAAUGAUGGCCAGGCUGUCUCCACCCGAGACUCAGUGAAAUUGAACUCGCUGUGAAGAUGCAGUGUACCCGCGGCAAGACGGAAAGACCCCGUGAACCUUUACUAUAGCUUGACACUGAACAUUGAGCCUUGAUGUGUAGGAUAGGUGGGAGGCUUAGAAGUGUGGACGCCAGUCUGCAUGGAGCCGACCUUGAAAUACCACCCUUUAAUGUUUGAUGUUCUAACGUUGACCCGUAAUCCGGGUUGCGGACAGUGUCUGGUGGGUAGUUUGACUGGGGCGGUCUCCUCCUAAAGAGUAACGGAGGAGCACGAAGGUUGGCUAAUCCUGGUCGGACAUCAGGAGGUUAGUGCAAUGGCAUAAGCCAGCUUGACUGCGAGCGUGACGGCGCGAGCAGGUGCGAAAGCAGGUCAUAGUGAUCCGGUGGUUCUGAAUGGAAGGGCCAUCGCUCAACGGAUAAAAGGUACUCCGGGGAUAACAGGCUGAUACCGCCCAAGAGUUCAUAUCGACGGCGGUGUUUGGCACCUCGAUGUCGGCUCAUCACAUCCUGGGGCUGAAGUAGGUCCCAAGGGUAUGGCUGUUCGCCAUUUAAAGUGGUACGCGAGCUGGGUUUAGAACGUCGUGAGACAGUUCGGUCCCUAUCUGCCGUGGGCGCUGGAGAACUGAGGGGGGCUGCUCCUAGUACGAGAGGACCGGAGUGGACGCAUCACUGGUGUUCGGGUUGUCAUGCCAAUGGCACUGCCCGGUAGCUAAAUGCGGAAGAGAUAAGUGCUGAAAGCAUCUAAGCACGAAACUUGCCCCGAGAUGAGUUCUCCCUGACUCCUUGAGAGUCCUGAAGGAACGUUGAAGACGACGACGUUGAUAGGCCGGGUGUGUAAGCGCAGCGAUGCGUUGAGCUAACCGGUACUAAUGAACCGUGAGGCUUAACCUUACAACGCCGAAG
rnacentral:rRNA from 1 species